AGCAACAAGGGCAAGCUAAAAAUACAGCAGGUGGCGGUACUGCUUGGAUUAGUUUACCAACCACCAAUUCAUCUUUGUAGAAGAAGAAGACCACGAAAAACGUAAUGGCCAGUGCUGUGCAGCGUGUUGUAGGAGUUUAAGGAUUUCCUUUUCACACAGAAUAUCUGAAGCAAAAGUGUUCCAAUGAAGCAAGAAGAGCUGAUUUUUUUUUUUUUUAAUUAAGUGUUGGCCUGGAUUUCAGAGUGCAGAGUUCAAGAUAUGAUUUAAGGGUCAGUUGGAUUAUAUUGACACAACUACCCGUUAAAAAUAUUGUCCAACUGCUUUUGUCUUUUUACUUCAGCAAAUAAACGCCAAACCAGA